UACGAAGGGGGCUAGCGUUGCUCGGAAUCACUGGGCGUAAAGCGCACGUAGGCGGAUCUUUAAGUCAGGGGUGAAAUCCCGGGGCUCAACCUCGGAACUGCCUUUGAUACUGGGGAUCUCGAGUCCGGAAGAGGUUGGUGGAACUCCGAGUGUAGAGGUGAAAUUCGUAGAUAUUCGGAAGAACACCAGUGGCGAAGGCGGCCCAACUGGUCCGGUACUGACGCUGAGGUGCGAAAGCGUGGGGAGCAAACAGG
rnacentral:rRNA from 1 species